rnacentral:lncRNA from 1 species
CUGAAGAACUGUUAUCCCUCUGCAGUACAUGGGGGUUUGAGCUCACGUCAAUGUGCCUGACCUAAGGGCAAAUGGAGCUAAGCAGGAGGGAGAAUUAGACACUUGCCACGGCUUGGAGACAGGGUCUACUGCUCUCUGCUGAACCAGAGGAAAGAACACACUGGCUCCUGAACCUUCGCAGGAAGACAAGGCGAGGGCUGCUGGGUGCCCGUCGCUGCUCACAGCACAGAACGUCCCACUCCUCAGACUCUUUGUCCCCGUCCUAAGACUGUCCUUCACUUGGUCCAUCCAAUCCAAAAUAUGGGCAUACGAAACACACCUCAUCCUUCACACACACAACAUGCUCAACCUUCACUAGCCACGUGACUUUCUUUCUCACAUCAUCCUGAAUUUGCUUUUCUGAAAUUUACUUUUCAAUCUUCUGACUUUUCUUCAUACCUAAGAAGACUGGACAAAGUGCUUGAAAAGCAAAUGGAAACAUUUUAUGAAUAACUACGCAAAGGAAAGACAUAUAAAUAUUUUUAAAGGCAAUUUCCCUUCUACAGAAAUGAGCUUAAGUCAACACUACAGUUGCCACUAAGUGUAAGGAUUCGUGAAGGGGAAAACGACGGACUCCCUUCCCUCUGUUCUUCUCAAGUAAUGCAAAAAGAGACGGGGGCGGGGAGAGAAGAGGAAUGCUGAAAGGGCAUUAUGCUUUUGCUAUUUAGUAAAAGAAGUAUCAACAUGCCUUCUGAUGACUCCUGAACAUCCCUUACAAAUGAAGGAGCCACAGAGUGGGGCAACUCCAUGCCUUUAUCACUCAGCCAGCCAAGGAAGAGGAAGACAAUCAAGCCACACUUGACAAGGGACAA